CAGCCGCCGCGGUAAUACGUAGGUGGCAAGCGUUAUUCGGAUUGAUUGGGUGUAAAGGGUGUGCAGACGGCUUAUUAAGUCACUUGUUAAAUUCUUCGGCCUAACUGAAGGUCUGCAAGUGAUACUGAUGAGCUAGAGGGUGGAAGAGAGAAGUGGAAUUCUCGGAGUAGCGGUAAAAUGCGUAGAUCUCGAGAGGAACACCAAUGGCGAAGGCAGCUUCUUGGUCCAUUCCUGACGUUCAUACACGAAAGCGUGGGGGGCAAACAGGAUUAGAUACCCGCGUAGUCCCUGUCUCUUAUAC
rnacentral:rRNA from 1 species